rnacentral:rRNA from 1 species
UACCAGCACCCCGAGUGGUCGGGACGAUUAUUGGGCCUAAAGCAUCCGUAGCCGGUUCUACAAGUCUUCCGUUAAAUCCACCUGCUUAACAGACGGGCUGCGGAGGAUACUAUAGAGCUAGGAGGCGGGAGAGGCAAGCGGUACUUAGUGGGUAGGGGUAAAAUCCGUUGAUCCAUUGAAGACCACCAGUGGCGAAGGUGGCUUGCCAGAACGCACUCGACGGUGAGGGAUGAAAGCUGGGGGAGCAAACCGG